UUUUAUCGAGGGCGGCAUAAUUGAGCGCAGGCCAAAUUUAAAAAAAAAAAGAAUUUUUAGCGUUUCCACUUAUCACUAGGGUUUUGAGUCCAAGUGAUUAGAACAACUCCCACAAUUCGCUCAUCGCAGUUCAUCCGUAGAUAGAAUAUUCCCUGGCUCCACCAAGAGUGCCAACGAUUUCCCAGCAAGAUUGAAAAGUCGAACUUGGUUAUCAAGGAGCUCGUUAAGGAAAAUGAUGAAGAAAAAGAAAGGUUAAAUGGAGUUAUUGCGGGCUUGUUGGCUAAAAAAGAAAAAGAUAAGGUGGACAAAGAUGUCAUGCUCAAUAGGAUGUCACAAAUUGAAGCUAUGUUAACCGCUAUGGUUCAAAGAUAGGCUACACUUGGCUUUGAAUGUUUUGAUGUUUACCAUAUUAGGAUAAUUUCGGUAAUUUGAUGUUUUAGUUGGCAUUUAUAUUAGAAUGUUUUAUAAUUUUAUAUAUUUUUGGGAUUUUGUAAUUUUA